AAAUCAACAAGUCCUCCAACUCAUACGACCGUAUGGGUCGUUUGUCACUAUCCAUAAAUACGACCCACACGAGCGUUCUCUAAAUUAGCGCCCCUAUUGGCAACAGGAGGUAUGAUAAAUGAACUUUCGCCUAAAUGCAUUGUGGGUUUAUUUUAACAUGUUUGCUAUUUGCGUUUUGAAUUGUUUGAUUUAAACUCUCCCAGAUGUUCGUGGAUUUUGAUGAUAUGGAUUUUAGAUGACUUCGAGACAUGUACAGUUUUGCAGUUUCUUCAUAUCACAUACAUCUCCAGCUCCUACAACAACAUUCAGUGUCCAGCAGCUCUUUAUGAUGCUCUCUCUCUCUCUCUCUCUCUCUCUCUUUCUCUCUCACUCUCUCUCUCUCUCUCUCUCUCAUUUUCGUUUCCUAUUUUUCUGAACUGUAAUUCAUAAAUAAGUCACACAUAUUUUUCUUUCUUUCUCUUGUUCAUCAUGGCAUAUUUUCACAGCUCAGAAUCAGAUUUUGAUCAGUUCUUGUAUUAACAGGGAACUUGUACUCGAAGCUCAACUCGAAGAAGUUUCCAGUGAAGAUGAAGUCCUUCAAAGGUUCGACACAGCUGAAAAGGAAGACCAUGGGCCUGUCAAACCUUGUUUGUGGAGAGGGAUGAAUUUGACCAUCUUGUGUGUUUACGGAGAAGACCAAAAGCUGCUAAGGCAGAUAUUUCCAGAGGUACAAACAGAGCGGAUGGUUGCAUGAUGGCCUCUUUCAGGUUUGUCAACUGAAUGUCUACUAGUGUGGCUCAGCAAGUUCCUGUCAUGAUCAGCCCUCUCCAAGAAAGCUGAAGAGCAAAAACACAAAGAACAUCAGUCCUGUUGGGGAUGAGGAAUGAACAUGGCUCUAUUGUGCCCAAACAGAAAAGAGUGAAAAGUCCUAGAAUGAACAAAUCAUCAGGGCAUCAUUUCUGGAAUUUGGGCAGAAAAUGACUGAAUAUGAAAGACUGCAGUAGAAGGAAAGCUGGUACUGAGAACAUUUGUCUUCACUCCAGACUAAAGAGAAGCGGGUCUGAGGCCAGAGAUGGAGGAGUCAAUGGUCACCAAAUGCAGCGCUGCAGCCUGAAACUGUGAAGACUGAAUUCCCAAACAGCUGUGUGACUGCACAGAUGUUACGGCCAUAAAAGAAACUUCACAACUGAGAGCCCAUACCUCCAACAACCUUCAACAGGAAUCAAUGGACAUCUACGCAAGGUUUUUCUUUUGUUGAGGACCGUCAGAGACUCCAGCCACACGAGCCAUGGAUUGCUCUCAACAUCACCAUCAGACAGACAUUAUCACAGAACCAGCACCAGCAGACUGCAAAACAAGUUCCUUCAACAGGCAAUCAGACUGAACUGAACUCGUACCAGUAACACCACACACACACACACACACACAUACACACACCAGCAGCCUCAUACUGUGUGCACUGCACUCUAUCAGCUACACUGACUGGACUCUGACUCACUAUUAUUCUGCAACCUGAUAUUCUGUUUGCACUAAUUCAUACUGUACUGAAAGUGAAAGUGACGUGACAUACAGUCAAGUAUGGUGACCCAUACUCAGAAUUUGUGCUCUGCAUUUAACCCAUCCGAAGUGCACACACACAGAGCAGUGAACACACACACACUGUGAACACACACCCGGAGCAGUGGGCAGAGGUAUAUCUACAGUAUACAGUGAUUGUUGUUAAUUGUUUUCAUUUUGUUCUCUCUGUAUAGUAUAGUAUUGCACUAUAUUUUCUACCUGUAUUGAGCUCUUAUGUAUACGGUUUAUAUUUUUGAUACUGUAUAUGUGUUGCAAAUAUAUUCAGUACUUGUCAUGCUGCAGUUUGCAGAAAAGCAUUUUACCACCUGUAUACUUGCAUUCAUGGUAUUGUGAUAAUAAAAUGAUUUGAUUUGAAUUGGUCACAUGACUUGUUCAUCAGUUGUAUUGUUGUGCUGGAUAACAAUUGCAAAUUGUUUAUGACAUUGAAGAAGAUCAUGAUAGAGACAUGGAUUUGAAGAAAACCAGGAGAGCUCUGAUGAUGAGAAGGAAACUGGAUGUGAUUCUUUGGUGCUCAAGACAUUUCACCAUGCCUUCAUCUGGGUUUCUUCAUCUGAUUAAAAUAAAAUGGUUUUAAUGUAACCCAUUUUUAUUUCACUUGAAUAUAAUUUGUCUUAAUAUGCUUCUUUAUCUGUCUUUAUGCUGCAUCCUAGUAAAAUAUUGCGUAUGGUGUUGGAUAAUCAAGUAUGGUGAAUAUUCUGUACUAGAGAUGGUUUUUUGGUAGAUACACCAUUUAAUUUUGUAAACAACACAUAUAAUCACCAUGGUUGUUUUGAUGAAGACAUGAACAUUUAGUAAUAUUAAUGAAAUUCAGUUAGAUGAAGAGCUGCAUUAGAAGAGACUGCAUGGACUUCAUGCACAACUGAAGGUGAUGAAUCAAGGAAAGAUCAACAUGAAUCCUGUUCUGUAUUAUAAUGAAGAUGUUCAUGCACAUUACUGAUGUCUAGCUCCUGAGCAGGACAAAGAUGAGACAUUCUUUACAGAGAUUUAUGAAUUAGGUAUUUUAUAUUAUGAUUCUUUAAAUUGCAUGAAUUGUAUGGAACCAUAAACUGCACACUGUCACACAUUGUCUUACUGAAUGACACAUUGGCCUUGUCUGAUGAAAUGUCAGAAUAUGUAUUUGUUGUCUUUGUUUACUAUUAGCACUGUAUUAUUGCUCUUGAUCUUAUGAAAUAAAUUGAGCUCUUUCCAAAUGGGCACUUAUGUUGA